AUGGAUGAAGAGACUCCAGCUGUCUGCCAACCAGAACCUGGUCGAUCUUUGGCAAAGUGGUUGACAGCUCCUACUUUGAGACAGUUGGGAAGGCUUGGGGAGAAGAUUGGGAGAAAAAGGAAUCAUCACAUGUUGUCAGAGCACUUGAAUCACCUCCUACUACUUGCUAAUCUAUACUGGACUCAAGCUCCUCCUGUGGCAGACCCACCUGUUAUGCCACCUCUCUGUCUGGACCACAGCGUGCUGGAUGCUACCACUGAGUCGGGAAUCUUCUGCACUUUGUACUUGGUGAUUGCACUCUGA
rnacentral:lncRNA from 12 species